rnacentral:rRNA from 1 species
UACGGAGGGUGCAAGCGUUAAUCGGAUUUAUUGGGCGUAAAGGGCGCGUAGGCGGAAGAGGAAGUCAGAUGUGAAAUUCCGGGGCUCACCCCCGGAGCUGCAUUUGAAACUCUUUUCUAGAGGGUAGAAGGAGAAAACGGAAUUCCACGUGUAGCGGUGAAAUGCGUAGAUAUGUGGAAGAACACCGGUGGCGAAGGCGGUUUUCUAUUUUAUUCCUGACGCUGAGGCGCGAAAGCAAGGGGAGCAAACAGG